rnacentral:pre_miRNA from 15 species
GCCCAUCCGGAAGAAGUCAGGAUUUCGGGCAACAUUCAACCUGUCGGUGAGUUUGGGCAGCUCAGGCAAACCAUCGACCGUUGAGUGGACCCCGAGGCCUGGAACUGCCGCCCACCCAUGG